rnacentral:lncRNA from 1 species
AAAUGCCUCUAUCCUUUUUUACUAAUAUUUUUAUGUUCAGAAAUUUUCAACCAAUCAUUUCAAAUAAUUAACUAAGUAAUAAUUUAUACCCAAAUAAAGAUAAAUAUUUUUUUUCUCAUGCGUAAUAUCCGCACCGGCCAAUUCUUUCGCAACGUAAUAUCCGCAAAUUUUUCAAAUAUCUCAACAUAAUUAUAGGUGACUUUGAAAUAAAAUUUCCUUCAUUGUAGGUAAUUUUUAAUAAUAUAGUAAAA